rnacentral:piRNA from 1 species
UGGGCUUGUUAGCAUGGUGUUCUCUAUUGCC